GAUGAAGAACGUAGCGAAAUGCGAUAAGUAGUGUGAAUUGCAGAAUUCAGUGAAUCAUCGAAUCUUUGAACGCACAUUGCGCCCCUUGAUAUUCCAUGGGGCAUGCCUGUUCGAGCGUCAUUUGUACCUUCAAGCUCUGCUUGGUGUUGGGUGUUUGUCUCGCCUCUGCGUGUAGACUCGCCUCAAAACAAUUGGCAGCCGGCGUAUUGAUUUCGGAGCGCAGUACAUCUCGCGCUUUGCACUCAUAACGACGACGUCCAAAAGUACAUUUUUACACUCUUGACCUCGGAUCAGGUAGGGAUACCCGCUGAACUUAAGCAUAUCAAUAAGCGGAGGA
rnacentral:misc_RNA from 1 species